GAUGAACGCUGGCGGCGUGCUUAACACAUGCAAGUCGAACGAUGAAGCUCAGCUUGCUGGGUGGAUUAGUGGCGAACGGGUGAGUAACACGUGAGUAACCUGCCCUUAACUCUGGGAUAAGCCUGGGAAACUAGGUCUAAUACCGGAUAGGAGCGCCUACCGCAUGGUGGGUGUUGGAAAGAUUUAUCGGUUUUGGAUGGACUCGCGGCCUAUCAGCUUGUUGGUGAGGUAAUGGCUCACCAAGGCGACGACGGGUAGCCGGCCUGAGAGGGUGACCGGCCACACUGGGACUGAGACACGGACCAGACUCCUACGGGAGGCAGCAGUGGGGAAUAUUGCACAAUGGGCGAAAGCCUGAUGCAGCGACGCCGCGUGAGGGAUGACGGCCUUCGGGUUGUAAACCUCUUUCAGUAGGGAAGAAGCGAAAGUGACGGUACCUGCAGAAGAAGCACCGGCUAACUACGUG
rnacentral:rRNA from 1 species